rnacentral:rRNA from 1 species
AGUGAACGCUGGCGGUAGACCUAACACAUGCAAGUCGAACGGCAGCACAGUAAGAGCUUGCUCUUACGGGUGGCGAGUGGCGGACGGGUGAGGAAUACAUCGGAAUCUACUUUUUCGUGGGGGAUAACGUAGGGAAGCUUACGCUAAUACCGCAUACGACCUACGGGUGAAAGCAGGGGAUCUUCGGACCUUGCGCGAUUGAAUGAGCCGAUGUCGGAUUGGCUAGUUGGCGGGGUAAAGGCCCACCAAGGCGACGAUCCGUAGCUGGUCUGAGAGGAUGAUCAGCCACACUGGAACUGAGACACGGUCCAGACUCCUACGGGAGGCAGCAGUGGGGAAUAUUGGACAAUGGGCGCAAGCCUGAUCCAGCCAUACCGAGUGGGUGAAGAAGGCCUUCGGGUUGUAAAGCCCUUUUGUUGGGAAAGAAAAGCAGCAGGUUAAUACCCCGCUGUUCUGACGGUACCCAAAGAAUAAGCACCGGCUAACUUCGUG